AUACAUUAUUACAUUGGAUUUUUAUGUUUACAAGACUGAGUGUGCGAAUAAUUGUUUUUUGAUGACCACAUAUAUUUUACCAAACAUAUGUUUCCGGAUAUCGCGUUUCAAAUAAGUUGUAUAAGACGUUUCCGUUUCCGGAAAAUACGGAGCUGUUGUAAGUAAAUUUAGUAUAGGUAUUUGUUUCCUCUUAUGAUAUAUUUUGCUUGCUUUUUAUCGUUUUGGUUCUUUUUCUCUUGUUUCAGAGGGCGAGUAAUGGCGCUUGAACCUAGGCCUAUAUGUACACUGAUGGACAUAAGUAAGCGUCAUGUUUUUAUUGAAAUCUGUAUAAAUCCAUACGAAUGCUUCUGUUUAUCAGUGUAUCAGAUCAGGGCACUGUAGUGUCUAGUUGGACGCUUUCGAACAAGGUUUACUUUCAGUGUAAACUUAUUAAUUGAAUUGCCUAAUUACUACCAUGAAUUUGUUUACUAUUAAUUAUAUGUGCGAACAGCUGUCAAUUGACAUGAAACGAAUUGUAACGUCAUGAAAAGAUGAUCUGAAAUAUACGAGUGAUGAGCUGGGCUCAUUCGCUAUCUGAAUCCCCAACUGGUUAGUUCAUUUUUACUGUAGAAGAAACACAUUAACUGGCGACAAGGUGAAACAAAAAAAAAGUUUGGAAAGUUUGCUAGGAAAUAGAUCCGGUAAAGUGUUAGUGAAAAAUUUGCCUGUUGGAGAGCUGAAGACCAUUCCGGGUUACUGAUAACCAGAACUGAAGAAGAAUACCAAAUCUCAGGAAGAGACCAGACCUGCAGCAAGGCCUUUAUCGACACGGGAGCGGUGCAUGUCGAACCAUAUAAGAGCGGCCAUAGGGUUUUGCUUAUCCGGUGAAGAUUGAAAAACAACUGCUAAUUGGCACGGUUUCGGUGGAACGGAGUUUAUUUUACACGACUAUUGAAGUUGACCACAUUUUCGUUCGAUCGCUAGUGAUCUUUGCUUCCGCUGAUUUGGCGAUUCCGCAGGCUAACUGGCUGGUGUGGAUUGUGAUCCCGGUAAAUUGGUGGAAAUUGGAAGCGCGCGAACCACGGCUCAUCGAACGCAAGUCAGACUGUUUAAUGAUCCGAGUCCACUGGAGCGGCCAAACAUCACGCUUCCUGUUCCCUGUAUCCAAGAUAACAUGGCUCGAACGAGCAGCCUGCCGGUUACUGCCGGU